GCUGAAUGUGGUGAGGGGUGGACAGCACAGCUGAGAGAUGGGUCAAGCUUUUCUCCUGAACCAGGAGUCGGGGACAUCUCCUGGGCUGUCCAUUUCCCUCAAACUGUCAGCGACAAGAACAGAAGCAGUCUCCAUUAAGCCAAGAGGGCCGGCGGACUUUCCAGAGAGCACAGCGGCAAUUCCUCCAGGCUUCACAGCCCCAUCGCACCUGGCUCAAGCAAAGGGAGGGCUGAGGCUGGAAGAAAAACAUCAUGAAGAAAAGACCAAGCCAUCACAGGUCCCACUCAGAAGGGACAGAACCAGGCAAAAGGCAGCCAGAAUUCAAUUUGCCAAAUACAUAGAUGGAUCUGCAUGAUCUUGGAAGCCCCUUCCCCAAAUGCACGCCCUCUCCUCUCCCUUCACUAUUGGGACUCUGAGUUAUCCGAAGCAGUUAAGGGAUCUGUAGGCGCCCAGAUGCGACGAGGGUGGGAAAGGCGAGAGGUCUGGGAAAUGCCCAAAACGGGGCUGGAGAGGGCGGGCGGCGGGCGAGAGGGAAAGGGAAGAGGCAGGCGUCCAUGACGGCCUGGACACGUCCAAAGUCUCCCCGCGAGCAGCCAGCUCCCAACUUGUUUACUUGACAGCGUGUUUUGCUGUCUCCAAAAGGAAACAGUUAAAGCAUCUCGGGUGGAUCCAGAGCAGUCCCUAUCUGCUACCUUCCCUCCCAGCUAAGCGCUGCCUCCUCCGCCUCAGCUAGGGAAUCCAGUCUGGUCUACUUUAUUCCA
rnacentral:lncRNA from 1 species